rnacentral:lncRNA from 1 species
GAACCAUGUAAUUCCAUCCCCAGGAUGAAACACAUUAGCGCGUUUGGCUAGUGCUCUAUCAGAGGGCCAUUAGACUGAGGCUCGUGCAUGAGGGGAUAGCAUGCUUUUACUUUCACUCUCUUUGUAAUAAAAAACGAUUUCCCGGUCGGAAUAUUAUCACUUUUUUACGAGAAAAAUGGCAUAAAAAUGGAUUUUAAACAGCGGUUGACAUGCUUCGAAGUACGGUAAUGGAAUAUUUCGAUUUUUUUUGUCACGAAAUGCCCCAUGCUCGUCACCCUUAUUUACCCUUUCAGAUAGUGUCUUGAACGCACGAACAAAACGCCGCUAUUUGGAUAUAACAAUGGAUUAUUUGGGACCAAACCAACAUUUGUUAUUGAAGUAGAAGUCCUGGGAGUGCAUUCUGACGAAGACAGCAAAGGUCCCCGGACAACGCAAUCACUGUUGCCCUGCACACUGCUCUAUCCCAGUUGGACAAGAGGAAUACCUACAGUAUGUGAAAACGUUGUUAAUCAACUACAGCUCUGAUUUCAACACCAUAGUGUCCUCCAAGCUCUUCACUAAGCUCAGGGCCCUGGGUCUGAACUCCUCCCUGUGCAACUGGGUCCUAGACUUCCUGACGGACCAACCCCAGGUAGUGAGGGUAGGCAACAACCCCUCCAACAUGCUUAUCAUCAACAUGGGGGCCCCACAGGGAUGUGUGCUCUUCCCCCUCCUGUACUCCCAGUUCACGCAUGACUGCAUGGCUACACCACUCCAACUCAAUCCUCAAGUUUGCUGAUGACACGACAGUGGUAGGCCUUAUUUCCAACUACUCCCUGGCAGAGUGGUGCCAGGAAAAUAACCUUACCCUCAAUGUAAAAAAAAAC